GAUGAACGCUAGCGGCGUGCCUAAUACAUGCAAGUCGAGCGAACAGACGAGGAGCUUGCUCCUCUGACGUUAGCGGCGGACGGGUGAGUAACACGUGGAUAACCUACCUAUAAGACUGGGAUAACUUCGGGAAACCGGAGCUAAUACCGGAUAAUAUAUUGAACCGCAUGGUUCAAUAGUGAAAGACGGUUUUGCUGUCACUUAUAGAUGGAUCCGCGCCGCAUUAGCUAGUUGGUAAGGUAACGGCUUACCAAGGCAACGAUGCGUAGCCGACCUGAGAGGGUGAUCGGCCACACUGGAACUGAGACACGGUCCAGACUCCUACGGGAGGCAGCAGUAGGGAAUCUUCCGCAAUGGGCAAAAGCCUGACGGAGCAACGCCGCGUGAGUGAUGAAGGUCUUCGGAUCGUAAAACUCUGUUAUUAGGGAAGAACAAAUGUGUAAGUAACUAUGCACGUCUUGACGGUACCUAAUCAGAAAGCCACGGCUAACUACGUG
rnacentral:rRNA from 1 species